UUGAACGCUGGCGGCAGGCCUAACACAUGCAAGUCGAACGGUAACAGGAAGCAGCUUGCUGCUUUGCUGACGAGUGGCGGACGGGUGAGUAAUGUCUGGGAAACUGCCUGAUGGAGGGGGAUAACUACUGGAAACGGUAGCUAAUACCGCAUAACGUCGCAAGACCAAAGAGGGGGACCUUAGGGCCUCUUGCCAUCGGAUGUGCCCAGAUGGGAUUAGCUAGUAGGUGGGGUAACGGCUCACCUAGGCGACGAUCCCUAGCUGGUCUGAGAGGAUGACCAGCCACACUGGAACUGAGACACGGUCCAGACUCCUACGGGAGGCAGCAGUGGGGAAUAUUGCACAAUGGACGCAAGCCUGAUGCAGCCAUGCCGCGUGUAUGAAGAAGGCCUUCGGGUUGUAAAGUACUUUCAGCGGGGAGGAAGGGAGUAAAGUUAAUACCUUUGCUCAUUGACGUUACCCGCAGAAGAAGCACCGGCUAACUCCGUGCCAGCAGCCGCGGUAAUACGGAGGGUGCAAGCGUUAAUCGGAAUUACUGGGCGUAAAGCGCACGCAGGCGGUUUGUUAAGUCAGAUGUGAAAUCCCCGGGCUCAACCUGAGAACUGCAUCUGAUACUGGCAAGCUUGAGUCUCGUAGAGGGGGGUAGAAUUCCAGGUGUAGCGGUGAAAUGCGUAGAGAUCUGGAGGAAUACCGGUGGCGAAGGCGGCCCCCUGGACGAAGACUGACGCUCAGGUGCGAAAGCGUGGGGAGCAAACAGGAUUAGAUACCCUGGUAGUCCACGCCGUAAACGAUGUCGACUUGGAGGUUGUGCCCUUGAGGCGUGGCUUCCGGAGCUAACGCGUUAAGUCGACCGCCUGGGGAGUACGGCCGCAAGGUUAAAACUCAAAUGAAUUGACGGGGGCCCGCACAAGCGGUGGAGCAUGUGGUUUAAUUCGAUGCAACGCGAAGAACCUUACCUGGUCUUGACAUCCACGGAAGUUUUCAGAGAUGAGAAUGUGCCUUCGGGAACCGUGAGACAGGUGCUGCAUGGCUGUCGUCAGCUCGUGUUGUGAAAUGUUGGGUUAAGUCCCGCAACGAGCGCAACCCUUAUCCUUUGUUGCCAGCGGUCCGGCCGGGAACUCAAAGGAGACUGCCAGUGAUAAACUGGAGGAAGGUGGGGAUGACGUCAAGUCAUCAUGGCCCUUACGACCAGGGCUACACACGUGCUACAAUGGCGCAUACAAAGAGAAGCGACCUCGCGAGAGCAAGCGGACCUCAUAAAGUGCGUCGUAGUCCGGAUUGGAGUCUGCAACUCGACUCCAUGAAGUCGGAAUCGCUAGUAAUCGUGGAUCAGAAUGCCACGGUGAAUACGUUCCCGGGCCUUGUACACACCGCCCGUCACACCAUGGGAGUGGGUUGCAAAAGAAGUAGGUAGCUUAACCUUCGGGAGGGCGCUUACCACUUUGUGAUUCAUGACUGGGGUG
rnacentral:rRNA from 1 species